CCCUUAGAUGUUCUGGGCCGCACGCGCGCUACACUGAUGCAUUCAACGAGCCUAUCCUUGACCGACAGGUCCGGGUAAUCUUUGAAUCUGCAUCGUGACGGGGAUAGAUUAUUGCAAUUAUUAAUCUUCAACGAGGAAUGCCUAGUAGGCGCAAGUCAUCAGCUUGCGUCGAUUACGUCCCUGCCCUUUGUACACACCGCCCGUCGCUCCUACCGAUUGAAUGAUCCGAUGAAUAUCAUGGACUGAGAGUGUUAGAGUUUUCGGACUUCUACACUUCUCGGGAAGUGAAGUGAAUCUUAUCAUUUAGAGGAAGGAGAAGUCGUAACA
rnacentral:rRNA from 1 species